rnacentral:rRNA from 1 species
AGCAGCCGCGGUAAUUCCAGCUCCAAUAGCGUAUAUUAAAGUUGUUGCAGUUAAAAAGCUCGUAGUUGAAUUUCGGGAUCAAUUUGUUGGUCGUACCUUGGUACGUACUGACAUUAUUGGUUUCUCCCUUCUGAGAAUCCUUGAUGUCAUUAAUUUGGUGUCUUGGGGAAUCAGGACUGUUACCUUGAAAAAAAUUAGAGUGUUUAAAAGCAGGCAUACGCUUGAAUACAUUAGCAUGGAAUAAUGAAAAUAGGACGUUCGAUUCUAUUUUGUUGGUUUCUAGGAUCGAAUGUAAAUGAUUAAUAGGGAUAGUUGGGGGCAUUAGUAUUCAAUUGUCAGAGGUGAAAAUUCUUGGAUUUAUUGAAAGACUAAACUACUGCGAAAAGCAAUUUGCC